AUGAAUCAAAACAGUCGGGAACUUACAAAUGAGGAAGUGCAGCUGGUUUACAUAAGGAGGGAGAAUGCCGGCAGCUGGAAUUCGGGGCUGGAAAGGAGCAAAUAUUAUAGACCUAUUCUGCACAACUCCAAAAGUCCUGAAACUCCACGAAAGUUAUUUUUGGAAAUAAUAAAAAAUACUGAGCGGAAGAAAUACUUGAGGGAGCCCACACCCUGGCCACGAGGGUGGGGGCGCCCCCCUGCCUCGUGGGCCCCCUGUUGGCCCUCCGGUGCCCAUCUUCUGCUAUAUGAAGUCUUUCAUCCAAAGAAAAAUCAUAAGAAAGCUUUCGGGACGAGACUCCGCCGCCACAAGGCGGAACCAAUCUAG
rnacentral:rRNA from 1 species